UACGGAGGGUGCAAGCGUUGUCCGGAUUUACUGGGCGUAAAGAGCGCGCAGGCGGUCGUUCAAGUCGAGUGUGAAAGCCCCCGGCUCAACUGGGGAGGGUCACUCGAUACUGAUCGACUCGAAGGCAGGAGAGGGAAGCGGAAUUCCCGGUGUAGUGGUGAAAUGCGUAGAUAUCGGGAGGAACACCAGUGGCGAAGGCGGCUUCUGGCCUGUUCUUGACGCUGAGGCGCGAAAGCUAGGGUAGCAAACGGG
rnacentral:rRNA from 1 species